AGGGUUCGAUUCUGGCUCAGAACGAACGCUGGUGGCGUGUUUUAUACAUGCAAGUCGAGCGAGGACGGUAGCAAUACCGAGCCGAGCGGCGAACGGGUGAGUAACGCGUAAGCAAUCUGCCCCCACAAUCGGGAACAACCGUGCCAACGCGCGGCUAAUGCCGGAUAUUGUAGUCUACUGCAUAGUAGGCCAACGAAAGAUUUAUUGUUGUGGGAUGAGCUUGCGUCCGAUUAGCUAGUUGGCGGGGUAAUAGCCCACCAAGGCGACGAUCGGUAGCCGGCCUGAGAGGGUGAUCGGCCACAUUGGGACUGAGAUACGGCCCAGACUCCUACGGGAGGCAGCAGUAGGGAAUAUUGCGCAAUGGGGGGAACCCUGACGCAAGCAACGCCACGUGUGGGAAGAAGCAUUUCGGUGUGUAAACCACUGUCGGAAAGGAAUAACGGAAGACUUCGGUCUUUAUGAAUGUACUUUUAGAGGAGGCACCGGCAAACUUCGUGCCAGCCGCCGC
rnacentral:rRNA from 1 species